CUCGGCAGAAGCAACUGCUGGGGUUUGUGUGGAUGAACACUAAAGGGACUUCCUUUGAAAAAGCUGCAGGAAGUCUUGGCUGCCUCAGUGGCUGUUGAGGUCCUCACCAGGAUUCUCUGUAGAGCAGGCCACUGAGGACCCUGGUGGCAGCUGCUGUGUGGCUAAUAUGUUUCAGGAAAAAUGAAAGCUGAUAUCUCCUACCCCACCAUACUAUUGACAUCCUGAAAAUAUUUACAAAAUGGGGAAGACCUGGGACACACUUCGGCCCUUGGACAUCAGAACUUCAGGCUUUUUGGCCUUAGGAUUCCAGGACUUACACCAGCAACUCCCUGGGUUCUCAGAGGUAUUUGGCCUUGGCCUGAAAGUUACACAUUAGCUUUCCUGGUUCCAAAGACUUCGGACUUGGACUGAGCCAUGCUUCCAGCAUUCCAGGGUCUCCAGCUUAGAGAUGGCCUACCACAGGACUUCUCAGCUUCCACAAUCAUUGUGCCUCCCUGGGAUUUAUCUAUGUUAUGAACCAUAACAUAGCACGAAAUAAUGGCUUUAGCAAGAUGCUGAUUAUGCUCUAUUCUGUUUCAUAAUUUCAGCUUUUAUGUCUGUAGCUACCUCCUAUUUUCCAAAUAUGGAUUUUUUUCCUGUUUUCUGGUUUCUUGAAGUGAAUUGUUAGGUUAUUUGUUUCAUAUUGUUUUAUCAUUAAGCAUUUGGAAAUUUGAAUUUAUUUUAGUGAAGUUCAGUUCACUUUCAGUUUAUGUAUUUUCAAGCUCAUUGCUUUCUAGGUAAUUUAUAACUAUCAUUUUGAUUUAUUCAAUGAUUUUAGAAUUUAGAAGAAUCAAUAGUCUAAGUCAUUUAUGUUUGUAUUUAUUAUUUUGUUUUUAAAUUCCAGUUUUAUUGCAUUUUUUCAGGGAUGUAGAGAUGAAUGUGGAAAAUCACUUCAGAAAUAUAUAUGAACGUAGAUAUGGAGUAGAAGCUAUCAUCUAAUUAAAAUAAUGUAAAGGGGGUAAAUGCUGAAUAAUUUUAUUUGUAAUAGUAAGAUGAAUUCAUCAGAUGAAGCACUGUCAUUACAAACUCAAACAUGAUAUUGCAAGUAUUUAUUCUGUGAUUUAAUAGAAAAAUGUUGACAUGUUUUCAUGGAAGAAAAUAAAAACUUACACAAAAGUAGUGUCAUAGGACACUUGAAAAGGACAAAUGAAAAGGACAAAUAAUGUCGUUGAUGUGCCAAGAAUGAUGAUAUAAACCCUAUUACAAGGCAAAAGAUGUGCUACUUAAUAUUAUGUCCAACCUGCUAUGAUUUCACCACGCAGAACUUACUGAAAUGUUACCUUUUCCGUCAUGGGAUCCAUUGUUAAAUUCAACAGUUAGCACUAACACCUUAAACGAGUGUAGCCAAAGGCCAUCACUUAGUGCAUCUGAGCAUUUUAAUGUAGAGAAUCAUGAAAAGAACUGAGGUUUUCAGGUUUCAGAAUAUACGUAACAAUUUGACUGCAUAGGUUAGUUCUAAUUAUAUUCUAAUGAGGCUAAAUAUAAGGAUUCAGUUUUUAUUAUAGUAAAUGACUUAUAGAUUAUAUUUUUCCUUCAUUACCUCUUAAUUUAAUUAUGUUAUCACAAUUGUCAGUUCUAAAACAGUAAAAGGAUAUUUCUCAUUAGAAGAUGUAUUGGUCAAUUUGGUCAGAAAUCCUUCACUCAAUUUCACUUACAGAUGUGAUGUGCACAUCUUCAGACCAAUCCAUUUGUCUGUCACAAUACGGCACGGGAGCUAAAAAAGGCUCUGGUUGGCUGAUCAAAUGCAACUUCCCAUUUCAAGGGUUUAUAAUUUCAUUAUAAAAAUUAACUUCUGUCUGACUCUAGCUAGAGGCUCUCAAAAUUUGGAAGACAUUAUUUCUGGAUAUCUCUAAUUUCAAAUACACUAAUUUUAUAGAAUUUCGUACUGACCAACUUGAGCAUAAUAGUUCAUAUAAUUUUAAAGCUUACUCCAAUUAAUAUUCUUUCUGAAUCAUUUUGCAUAAGCAUCCUCCCAGUGAUGUGAAACAAUGUUGCCCAGUUCAAAUAAGCAUUAAGUGUUGAGGUAAUGUAAAAGAAACAAGGAUGAAGUCUGAGAAAUUCUAAGGAACAAGACAAUUUUGUGAUCUGGUAAUGAAAAGAGCAAAGAGAAAAAGAGAUCUUCAAGGAAGAUAAGUAAUACAAAUUCACAGCUUAUACUUACAUAGACACCAGUAUAAUGUAGGUAUGAAUACCACUUAAAAUUUUUAAUCACCAAAUACUCAGUUAAAUACUUUGGGCAGAGAAGUAUUUAUGUCCACUCUAAGCUGAUUAUGAUAGUCCUGUUAUUUUUGACUAGGGAUUGAUUUAGUCAUGCACAUACGAUAAAACUCUGACCAAUGAGAUGUGAGGCUAUCCGUUGGAGAGAUUCUGAGAGGGUUCUGCUCACUCUUUAAAGGAGAAAUAAAGUACAUUAGAAUUAUUUUUACUUGUAAGAUUUCCACCUGCUGGUGACGACUGGAAUUGCAGCAUUAAUGUUGAAACCCUGACGGGAGCCUCUUACGCUAACAUGCAAAGGACUGCAGAGAAGAAAAUGGAAACAGACAAAAGAAUCAUGACAUCCCUGAGCUAUUGAGUUAAACAUACCUAGACCCGCUGUCCUAUGUGAACCUAGAAGGGUGGCUGUUACGUGAGAUAAAAAUUG
rnacentral:lncRNA from 1 species